rnacentral:rRNA from 1 species
AUUGAACGCUGGCGGCAGGCCUAACACAUGCAAGUCGAACGGUAACAGGGAUCAGCUUGCUGAUUCGCUGACGAGUGGCGGACGGGUGAGUAAUGUCUGGGAAACUGCCUGAUGGAGGGGGAUAACUACUGGAAACGGUAGCUAAUACCGCAUAACGUCGCAAGACCAAAGAGGGGGACCUUCGGGCCUCUUGCCUUCGGCUGUGCCCAGAUGGGAUUAGCUAGUAGGUGGGGUAACGGCUCACCUAGUCGACGAUCCCUAGCUGAUCUGAGAGGAUGACCAGCCACACUGGAACUGAGACACGGUCCAGACUCCUACGGGAGGCAGCAGUGGGGAAUAUUGCACAAUGGGCGCAAGCCUGAUGCAGCCAUGCCGCGUGUAUGAAGAAGGCCUUCGGGUUGUAAAGUACUUUCAGCGGGGAGGAAGGGAGUAAAGUUAAUACCUUUGCGCAUUGACGUUACCCGCAGAAGAAGCACCGGCUAACUCCGUG